GACGAACGCUGGCGGCGUGCUUAACACAUGCAAGUCGAGCGGUAAGGCCCCUUCGGGGGUACACGAGCGGCGAACGGGUGAGUAACACGUGAGCCAUCUGCCCUUCACACGGGGAUAACUUCGGGAAACCGGAGCUAAUACCCGAUACGACCACCCCGGGCAUCCGCUGGUGGUGGAAAGCUCCGGCGGUGAAGGAUGAGCUCGCGGCCUAUCAGCUUGUUGGUGGGGUAGCGGCCCACCAAGGCAACGACGGGUAGCCGGCCUGGGAGGGUGACCGGCCACACUGGGACUGAGACACGGCCCAGACUCCUACGGGAGGCAGCAGUGGGGAAUAUUGGACAAUGGGCGAAAGCCUGAUCCAGCAACGCCGCGUGAGGGAUGACGGCCUUCGGGUUGUAAACCUCUUUCAGCAGGGACGAAGCGCAAGUGACGGUACCUGCAGAAGAAGCACCGGCCAACUACGUGCCAGCAGCCGCCGUAAAAC
rnacentral:rRNA from 1 species